rnacentral:lncRNA from 1 species
ACAACUUCUGCACUGACCAAAGGGCUUGAGCAAAUCCCAGACCAGUUUGGCUCCCUGGUGCUGAGCGAAGGUGCAGUGCUGGCAUCAUCUGGGGACCUUAAGAAUGAUAAGCAGGCAGCCAGCGCCAUCUCAAAGCUGGUCAGCACAGCCUGUGGCUUCAGGCUGCACCAUGGCACGAACAUCCCUUUCAAAUGCCUGUCUGUGGUCUUUGGUGAACACACACUGCUGGUGACUGUGUCAGGAGAGAGGGUGUUUGUGGUGAAGAGACAGAACCAAGGU